CAUCAGAUGACUGAAAGUAAGUAUUGGUCUCUUAAACCACUUCAUAGUAAAUUAGCGCCUACUUCUGGUGA
rnacentral:tRNA from 1 species